AUUCUUCUUGUCUGCUGCCAUAUGAGAUGUACCUUUCACCCUCCACCAUGAUUGUGAGGCCUCUCCAGCCACAUGGAACUGACAGCACAUGUGGCUUUCCUGCAAUGGGAUCGUCCUUCAAGAGGACCUCACAGGCUCUCCACCCGGACUGUGACGUAAGCAGCUGCAGCAGCCUUGGAUGUUUCUGGAUAGCCAGCCCCAUGAGAACAGCUUUAAAAUAGGAGACUGGCAUUGUGAUGAAGUGUGGACUUCGCUGUCAUAUAGACCUGGAUUUAAAUCCUGGCUUCAGUGUUUAUGGAUGACGUUGGACAAGUCAUUUAACCUCCUUAAGUCUCAGAGUUCUCAUUACGGAAAUGGAGCUCUUAAUAGUACCUACCCCCUAGUGUGGUUGUGAGGGUUGAGAUCAUCUAUGUUCAAAGUGCUUAUUAUACAGAGACGGGGACAUGUAAGUGCUACAUAAAUGUUAGCUUUUAUUAGUCACUGGAGUGGAGGAGAGAGGACUGUUGCCUCCUUGUCAAUGUCCCCAUCCUGGGAAGCCUGCCUGUGUGCACCAAGGCCCAUCUGACCCAUAUAUCAGAAAAGGUGCCCUUCUAGGGAGCGACACCCCCCACCAAGCCCCCCAGUCGCUGUCCAUGCUUUCCUCUAGGUUCAAAAUGCAGCUGCAUCUGUGCAGAAACCAGGUGUUGCCUGUGAGUUCUGCCUCGCUGGCCAGAGGUGGAAGGAAGGAGGAAAGGAGAGGGGCCUCCAUACUUCCAGAGCCCCACUGGGGGUUACCUUCGCUUGCCCCCACUCUUUUUGUCUUGCUCUGAGGAUGCCAGGACUUUAAGGACAUUGUCAGCGAGCACGUAAGUUCACCCCUGCAAGGUCAAAGGCAGGACAGAAAGAAGACCCAAAGGUCCCAGUUAGUCAAGGAAAAACAAUCACAAGAAUAAAACAUUUUUAAAGAUUAAAAUAAUAGCUGCCAUCUGUUGAGCAGUUGCUAUGUGUUAGGACUUGUGUGAAACAUGUUCACACAGUCUCUCUGCUUCCUCACAAUACUGUGAAGUAGGUAUUGUGCUUAAUUGAACAUAGGUUCAUUUAAGAAAACAAAUGUAAAUAUCAUUCUAAUCCUUGAUUUAAUUACCUCAAAUUCAGGCAGAAGCAGAUCAGCCCACCCUAAUGGGCAGUGUACCAGGAGCUUCGUGUGUAGGGACAACUUUCACCUUCAAAAUGCCCUGCGGGCUGCCUCAGCUUCUUUUCCACCAGCCCCUGGGCUCCCAGCUGUCUCAAGAGGCAGUGUUUUGCUGGGUAGUUACAGUGAAAGACCGGAUUGUCCUGCUCAUGUUACCCCCGUCUCCCUAUUUACUAUAAUCAGGAAGUCAUGUUUUUCAUUUAGGAUAAGGCAAUUACUCUUCUGUUGACUGAAGUCCAGCAAAAAGCAAACUGAAUCUCAUUUCCACAUUAAUGCAAUGGGGGCAGGAUGGAGAGGCAGCCUGAUUUCCUGGUGUCUCAGCCUCUCUCUUCUAUAUCUGUAUCUCCUCUGAUGGAAGCAUCUGUCGUAAUAGCAACAACCAAGAUAGCAUUGAGAGAGUAAACUAUUGUAGUCCCUUUCCCUCAUCUUGGGAAAUGAUGAAUAAAAGUCACCAUCUGCUCCCCUGAGCCUUGCUGUGGUGCGACCUAACUUUACACGCAAGUACAACGAAUGACCUGCCCCAUCCUAAGAAGCAGUAGAAUAAUAUGAAAAAGACUUUUUUUUCUGCUCUGCCUGGGUAGACAAGCAACUCUUUGCCAAGGGAAAGGAAUAAGACAUAUCAUGUCUCUUUAAUGAUUGAAGAUCCAGGUUAACUGUGGUAGAAUUAAGCAAAGAGCAAACAAAUGUUCUGAAUGUGUUUUCUUUUCUCUCAGAGAAAGAAUCUCAGUCAUCUGGACUGCUUUGUGCUAUAUGAAAAUCUCUGAGAACCUUCAAGAGCCCAAAAACAGUUCUCCUCCAUGCUGUAUGCCAUGGUCAGUGGUUAAAGAGAACAUUUUGUUCCACUCCUCCAGCUCUGCCUUAGAAACCCAAGCCCUGCACUCCAAGGCUCCUGGCAUCGUACACCAGCACCAGCAAUUUUCUGCCAAAAGCAUCAGCCAAAAUCUAUUCUAUCUAUUUCAGUUCCUCUCUUUUCAUCGGAUUGUAUUUUUACAGGUGAUUGCUGAUUCUCACACUGCUCUUCAGAUUCAUGUACAGCUGUGGUCUGAAUGUGUGUGUUUUCUCAAAAUUCAAGUUUAAAACUUAAUCCUCAAUGUGAUAGUAUCAACAGCUGCGGCCUUUUGGAAAGUGAAGGUGGAGCCCUCGUGAGUGGGAUUAGAGCUCUUAUAAAAGAGAUUGAAGGGAGCUACCUAGCCCUUCCAUCUCUUCUGCCUUGUGAGGACACAGUGUUCAUCCCUUUUGUCUUCCCACCAUUUGAAGAUGCAGAAAGAAGGUGCCAUCUUGGAAGCAAAGAGCAGCCCUCACCAGACACCAAGUCUGCUGGCACCUUGAUCUUGGACUUCCCAGCCUCCAGGACUGUGAGAAAUGAAUUUCUGUUGUUUAUAAAUUACCUAGUCUAAGGUAUGCUGUUACAGUAGCAGGAAUGGACUAAGACACACAUUGUCAAAAUCUUCAUGAGUUAAAGGUGAAGGUACAAUCAGAACUGGUGCAUGGAAUUGGAACCAUAGGUCUUAGUAAACACUGUAAAAAUGCACUAUUCAAAUCUACAGAAAAUGCUCUCUCUUCAAGUUCAGAAAGAAGCUACAAUCUGCUUUUCCUUUUUUUCUGAAGGGAAGUAAAAUUCUAUGUUUCUGGACUAAGAGGUCUACACCCCAGUCUUUCUCUUUCUGACAUGUAUAGUAAUCUUUGGCAAAUUACUCAAGCUUUCUUUGUUCUGGUGAAAAUAAAGUGCACAGGACAGUAUUACUAAGAGGCCUGAGCAACAUUAGAGGUUGAUAACGAUGGUUCCAAAGGCCUUUAAGAAGGUGUAAUGCUAUGUGGAUGUUUUUAUUGAAACCUUCCCUGGGUUUUCAGAAUUCUCUUUGGAAUUAGUCCUGUGGGAAUAUGCCUUUUGGGAUCUAUUCUCACCUCUUAUUCAGUCCCCCUUUUCUUGCAUUACAAUCUACAAUUUGAAGUUAUUCUGUCAUUUAAAAAUUAGGUCCAUGACCUCAUCAUCACCGGGUUUUCCUCUCCAGGCCAUUUCCAGUAGAAUGUUGGUCAUAUUCUCAUGUGAGAGAACAAAUCAGUUAUUCAUUACAUCUGAUCAAUGAGCUAGUACUACACCAUAAGGAAGUGUAGUAAAACCAGAAACUGGGAAACACCCGAAAAAAUUUGCUUUGUCCUGUGUUUUAAUUUGGGGUAUGAUAAAGUGCCACAGGACAUUAAUCCAGGGACUGAGAUAGACUCUUAAGUUUGGCAAUCAGUGAAAGAACUUGCUGAAUCUCUCUAGAAUUAACCUAAAGGAGCCAGCCUCUUUUCUCAUGAGAACAAUUUAUUUUAGGGUUAGUGGUGAAUUAAUUCUACAGUGUUUAAUUCCACAUAUAAACUUCAUUUUCUAUAUAAAUGUUUUGUUGUAACAUAUUCAAUUACUUCCUUUUGUUGUUUUUCUGCAACAUUCCCUUUUUCACCUUUUCUAACCUCUUAAACCAAAUAAAAAACUCACUUAUCUUCU
rnacentral:lncRNA from 1 species